UCCCCUGAGAAGGGCCUGUUCUCCCUAGUUCACCGCAGUACCCACUCAGCCCACCUCACUCAUCAUAGCGUCUCCUGGCCCCAAGGUAUCUGAGUUUUUGACCUCCCAUCCUAAAGUUUGCCAAAGAGGGUGCUGGAAAUCUAGCCCAGAGAGCUUAAACAACUCACCCAAGGUCACAGAGCAAACCAGUCAGUCCAGAACAAGGCCAUGGCCCAGGACUCAGGACACCCAGUCUUGCUUGGGACACUAAGCACAUGCCCUCAGAAGCUCCACAGACCUCACCUCACUCCCCCAGGAGCCGCUGACCCGGCCCUGAGCCCCGGGGACCAGGAGGCCGGGUUGUGGGUGCCGGGCAGUGGGCCGGGGAAGGCCCUGUCCUGUUUAGGUUUUUGUGGUCUCGUGAGUAACCAAAUGGAAAAAAACAAGCUUGAAAAGAUAACAAUUACAACGAAAUUAAAUCAAAUCAGGCCCGUGACUCAUUUAUGGAGCCGUAAAAACGGAAAACAAAAACAAGCUGGUUCUGGAGAGGAGAGGCCAGAAUGAGGAGACAAAAAGUCAGAGAAGGGAAAAAAUAAAGCAGCAGCGACAACCGCCUGGGACCAAAUUAUCCCCAACAAGGAGGCAACGGUGCCAGUCCCUGGAGUGGCAAGAGCACAGGGGAUUCAGGAGUUGGGGAGACCAGGGGCCAUGGGGGAGGCACUAAAGACCCUAGAAGCUGGGGGGAUGGCUGGUCUGGUCUCACAACUACCCCAGUCAGGUGGGUAGAUUGGCAUGCCAUACUACAGACCUGGAGACUGAGGCUCAGAGGGACCAAGUGACAAGCCUCAGGUCACACAACCAGGAAGUGGGAGGAUGAGAUUCGAACCUGGCCACAAAGCCUGUAUCGGGGCUCAGGUUUGCCAUCCAGAAAACAGGAACCUGAGCCCCAAUUCCAGCUCUGGCAAAGGAGCUGGAGUCCUGGAAGCUGCCCUGGGCAUUUCAGGAGCCCCAAAACCUGGGCAUCAGACAUGGCAGCCCCUUUCUAGAUCUCUCUGUCCCCAUGAGUGCCAUGGUGGGGUCACGUCAGGCAACAUCUAAGGAAGGUCCCAGGCAAUGUCUAAGGAAGGUCUGACCCAAGGAAGCUUCAAAGUUUGGCUCUGCCCAUUUCCCAGAAGCCUCUGCCCCCAAGAGAUGUAAGAGGAGCCGGAGGCAGAGCCUGAGGGAGCCCGCCCUGUCCGCUGAGAUUCCCUGAGAGGUCGCCCUGACCUGGGGAGGACGCUGUGUGGGCAGCAGAUGGCUGGGCUGGAGCGCUGGGAGAGGCAGAGAAGGCAGGGCGCUGGGCUGGUGAGGGUUGGAUCUGAGGGGGCUGGGGUGAAGGGACUGCCAAAAAUAACACCAUUGCAGCAUGUUGGGUACUGAGCAGGGCAUGGUGCUGGGUACUUUUCAUUCAUUUAUUCAUUCAUUCUACAAGUCUAUAUUUAGCACCUUCUUGUCCCAAGUGCUGUAUUGGGGGUUGUGAGCUGCCAUCCUGGAAAAAGAGGAGAGCACAAAACCUGAUGCUUCAGGUAGAGCCAUGGAGACACAGUAAGCAAAGAGAGGGGUGGCAGGGGUCAGGGAAGACCUCACUGAGCUCUGAUGUUUGGGUAGAGACCUGAAGAAGGUGCUAGAGCAAGCAUCUUCAGGAAAGGUGUUGUCGGCAGAGGGGACAGCAAGUGCAAAGGCCCUGAAGUGGGAGCGUGCCUGGUAUGUUCGAGGAACAGCAAGGGGGCCAGUGUGGCUAAGUCAGAGUGAAUUGUUCCAACUACCUGCCUGUGGGUACUGUUGUUAUCUUCUCUUACAAAAGAGGAAAUUGAGGCUCAGAGAGGGGAAGUGACUUGCUCAGAGUCACACAGCAGGAAAUGGCCGUGCAGGGAGCAAAGCACACGUCCACGCUGACUGUGGCCCUGUGUGUGAGACGGGGCUGCAUGGGCCAGAGGUGACUCCACAGAAGGCCUCUGUCACCCUCUUUGGUCACAGCCAAGGGUAUUGUGAUUGUGCAAUGCAGAGCCCUACAGGGAGCCCAGGCCAGGGCAGAGGCUGACACAGCCCUGGCCCCACCCGAGCCUCCUCCACCUUGCUCUCUCCCCAGCCUCCCAGACUCUCUGGGGUCUGGGUGUCGUAAGGUAGCUAAGAAUCCAGAAAGCUCAUUCAAGCCAAGGUGUGAGUGGCUGCUAGCAGCCCCCAGCUUAUCUCUACCCUUGGGUUGGCCUUUUAACCAGGUCACAGAAGCAGUUUUGCAGCCUCAGUUUCCCCAUAUGUUAAAUAAUGGGUCUUAGGUGAUCUCUAACAGGUAGUUGGGGGGUCUUUGAUCCAGAAAGAGGCAUGGUUUCCUGAGGUCACACAGCCGGUGAGUGACAGAGCUGGGGUGACCCGGCCCUGCUGACUCCUGGCCCAGGGCUCAUUUUCCUCCUCCUGAGGGACAAGGCUUUAUCCCGGAGCUCAGCGGACUGGGCCUCUCACCAUGCCCUGCUGUCUCCACAAUCGCCGCCCUCCACCACCUCCACCGCCACUGCCCUGAACCCUCCCUCUAGCCUCAGGGUGUUUCUCACUGUUCUACCUCCAGGCCUUCCCACAUGCCAUUCCCUCUGCUGGGGAUAUUCUUCCCCUUUGCCAUCUCCAAGGAAUCCUAUGGCGCAGAGGUUAAGCGCUUGGCUGCUAACCGAAAGGCCAGUGGUUCGAACCCGCCAGGCGCUGUACAGGAGAAAGAUGUGGCAGUCUGCUUCUGCAAAGAUUACAGCCUUGGAAACCCCAUGGGGCAGUUCUACUCCAUCCUACAGAGUUGCUAUGAGUCGGAAUCAACUCAGCAGCAACGGGUUUGGUGCCAUCUCCAGUGCCCUGGGUGGCGCAAAUGGUUUGCCCUUGACUACUAACCUAAAGGUUGAAGGUUCAAACCCACCUAGCCGCUCCAAGGAAGAAAGGCCUAGAAUCUGCUUCCAUAGGUGUUACAGCCAAGAAAACCCUAUGGAGCAGUUCUCUGUAACACAUAGGGUCGCCAUGAAUCGAAAUCGACUCGAUGCCAACGGGUUUGGGUUUUUUUUGUGCCAUUUCCUCCACCCCAUGAAGGAAAAAUAAAGCAGGAUCAGGGUUAGAGAGAGGGACCAUAUAGAGGAAGUAGAUGCUACUUAAGGAGCCCUAGUGGCGCAAUGGUUAAGCACUUGGCCGCUAACCAAAAUGUUGGCGGUUUGAGCCUGGCUCUGUGGGAGAAAGACCUGGUGAUCUGCUCCUGUAAAGACUACAAUCUAAACCCUAUGGGGCAGUUCUAGCUUGUCACAUGAAGUUGCUUUGAGUGAGAAUCUACUGGACAGCACAAAACAGGGACUAUUUAAACUGGGUGGAUGGAGAAGAUCACUCAGAAAGUGACAUCUGAGCUGAAGGAGGUGAGAGAGGGAGUCAUGUGAAUAUUUAGUAAACGGGUUCAGGCAGCGGCAAUAGCACGUGCAAAGGUCCUGAGGUGGAAAGAUCCCAGGCUUAUGAGAGAAACAAGGAGGACAGCAGGACUGGAAGGGAGCAACAGAGGGAGCGGUGGGAGGAGACAAGAUCGUGGGGGAGUGAGGGGUUUGCUGGGGGUGGGGAAUCACACAGGGCCUUGUGGGCCAAGGAGAGGACUUUGGCUUUUACCCUGCGUGAAGUGGGAGUCCUGAAGGGCUCUGAGCAGGGGAGGGCAGGGCCUGACCUCGGUUCUAACUGGAUCCCCCCUGGCUGGCUGUGUGUGGACAACAGACAGUGGGGAUCGAGGAAGGGAGCAGGGGACCAGCGAGGGGGUGACUGCUGCAGUCCCAGCAGGUGAUGCUAGUGGCCCGGACCAUGGUGGGGGCAGUGGGGAUGGAGCAUGUGAUUAGAUUCUGGGUGCAUUUCAAAGGUGGAGCUGACAGGGUUUGGGGAGAGACAGAUGUGGAGUGAGUGAGCAUGAGAAGCUAAGAAUAACCCCUGGGUUUUUCGCCAGAGCACCUGGGGGAGGGAGCAGAUAGGGACGUUUAGGAGGUUAAUUGAGGCUAUGCUGAGUCUGACGCUCCUAUUAGUCGCUCAGAUUAAGGUGACUAGGAAGAAAGGCCUGGCGAUCUACGUUCAAAAAUCAGUCCAUAAGGACCCUAUGAUCACAACAGCCAGAUCCACAACUGAUCAUGAAGGUGGCACAGGACAGGCAGCAUUAAGUUCCGUCAUGCAUGGGGUCACUAUGAGUCGGGCCGACUUGACGGCAACAACAAUUAAUUGCUGCAGUGGCAGUGGGGAGAGGUGGGUGGAGAGCUGUGUCUACAGUCAAGGGAGAGGUCGGGGCUGGAGAGAUACAUUCAGAAGCCCCCAGUGUUUAGAUAAGAAUAAGGAAUGUGUUUUGGACAUGUUCUUUCCCUUCUCCCCAAAGCUGGGAUUUCAACCCAGGUCUUCUGAGACCAGGCCUGGGACUCUCUAAACUGCCCGGGGUUCCCGAGGUUGUCCCUGGAGUGUGGAGACUGGGACUGGGACACCCAGGCUACAGGGUCUGGCCCCACGUCAUCAGUUGAACCCUGAAUGUCCGUUCUCCCCUAUCCCCAGCCCCAGGCCCCAAGCCAGGGAUCCGCUAGGUGCACCCUCUCUUGGUCAGUGGGCAAUAUACACAGAGAAGGGAGAGAGACACAGAAACAGAGGCAGACUGAGAUAGAGCAAUACAGGGAGACAGAAAGAUCCACGCAGAGAUCCAAGCAGAGACACAGAGAAUCAGGAAGACGGAGAGAACUUGAGAGGGGCUGGUUCAUCUCUCAACCCUCCCUCAAUCCCUGGGGGCCCUGGGACCUCCUUACCAACCCCACCAUCAUCACUGACACCCCCUGAGGAAAGAAUCAUCCAUCUCCCCACAGUCCUCUUUGGGCCUGUCUCCCCACCUGCGAAGAAGGAGGAUGAUAACCCAGCAGCUUCAUUGGCUGCUGGAGACAUCUGAUGAGAUAAGGUGCCUGGCACCAAGAAUCACUACAGAACCCUUCAUGCUACCCUCCCUGGGCCAGGGGAUGCACCCAAGGGGGUGUCAGGCCCAUCCCAGGGCUCCCCAGUAGCCUUGCAACCUCAAACAAGCCCCACUGCUGAAUGGGAAAACCGAGGCCCAGCUAAAGCCAGGAACCCAAUCCAGAUGCCAAAACAAGGGGGGUGAGACAUACUUUCUGGGCUCCAGGACAGUCUCCCCACUGAGGGGUCACACUUUCUUAAUUCUUUUAAUGAGCAUUUACUGAGCACCUACUGCCCUCCAGGCACACUGUACUGGGCACUAGGGAUGCAGCGGUGAGCAAGGGAGACAAAAUGUACUGCCCUGGCCGAGCUGACCUUCUAGGGGAGGAGACGGACAAGCAUCCAACAGACGAAUUAGUAUAAGAUACAUCAGGUGGUGAGAAACGGCGCAGAGAAAUAAAUCAGGGCAAGCAGGGAAGAGGUGCCUGCUGGGAAGAGGGGGGUCUUCAAAUUAUUGUCAUCGUUUCUCCACAGGCCAGGCAGUUUUUAUAUUUGGAACCAGCUGGUGAUGGGGAAGCAGGAGACUCGUUACCAAGUGCUUCCUGAGUCCCCAGCUCUGUGCCUGGCACGUUCAUCAGUUUUAUCACAUUGAAUCUCGUCAGCAUUUCCAAGAAAUAGAGUUGUGAACUCGGCCACUCGACAAAUGUUGGUUGAGCACCUACUGCCGGGCACUGUGCUGGACACUGGAAACAUAGCAGGGAACAAGACAGAGAAAAAGCCCUGCCCUGGUAGAUAAACAAGUCAACUAACAGUGCCUCAGAUGGUGGUGUCCCACACACAAGACCACAGCCAUGGAGGAAAAUAAAGCGAGGAAUCGGGGGAUCCCUUAGAGGAUUCCUCUGUCUGUGUGUGGAGGGAGAUUUCUGGAGGACCAGGGUGGAGGCAGGCAGACCAGGGAAGAGGCUUCUGGAAGAGUCUGGAGGAGCAACGAUGGCGGCAAUGGCAGCAGGGAAGGUUGGAUUCAGAGUCUGUUUGGAAGAGCUGCUGACAGCACUGGCAGCACUGGUGACCUGGACCAGUAGAGAGGGGUGAAUGGUUGGGGGUUAAGGAGAGCCCCCCUCCUGCCCUCCCUGCCUCAGGGGGCCAAGCAGGAAGUUGGUGGCCAGGCGGCCCAGCGUGGAAGGCUGACUGGUUUGUUCGGCCUGAAGCCUAUGGGCCCCCCCACCCCACCCCCAGUCUGUGUGGGCCUGUGGCAGCCCCAGGGCUGGGAAACAUGCCUGGAAUGUCAGCCACCAGGCCCAGCCAGACAGUGCCCGUGGGACCCGCUGUGGGCUAGGCGAGAGCUCUGGCCACAGCCCUGCCCUCACAUGGAAUCUCUCAGGGCCCAUUGACCAGGGUAAGUGGUCAUUACAGGCCUGGAGCAGAGGGGGAAGGGGCUACAAGCCCAGAGCCUCCCUAUACCCAAAUCCCCUCCUAUUUACUGAGUGCCUACUGUGUGCUGGGCUCUCACACACCGUCUCAUCCCAUCCGCACCUCAACCCACUGCCCCUAGGACCAACAUGAGGCCCACUUUGCAGGUAAGGAAACUGAUUUGCCUGUAUAUAGUCUCACAGCUAGGACGUGCGAAGACCAAGAUUCGAACCCAGGACCCCAAACUUGGUGUGCCUUCUCUGUUGCUGUUUUAGUUCCCAGAGAUCAGGGUGAGUCGGGGAAGGAACACGGCACUGUGAGUCCCAAGACACCCCUGGAGCCAUCUCUGGGCCUCAGUCCCCUCUUGCGUCAAAGAACUACUCUUUCAUUCAUUCACUCAUUCACAAGCACUUACUGGGCACCUGCCCUGCGUAGGCACUGUGCUGGGUGCUGGGUGUACAGCAAUGAACAAAACAGACAAAAAAACCCUACCUGGUAAUGGUGACAUUCCAAUGGCAGAAACAGAACAAACAAGCAGGGUGAUUUCUAGUAUAAGCAAGAAGUCCUAGGAAGAAAAUAAAAGAGCAAAAGGUGAUAGGAACAAGGGGUGGUCAGGGAGGGAGGGCGUCUCUGAGGGCUGACUUCAGAAAUAAGGCCUGGCUGCAGAGUAGGAGCUGCCGCAGGGAGAGCUGGGAGAAGCGUGUUCCAGAGGAAAGAGCAAGUGCAAAGGCCCUGGGGCAGCAGCAAAAUCGGUGUUUUCAGGCACAGCAAAGAGGCCAAUGUGGCUACAGCUGAGCAGAGAGGGAAAGGGCAGGGGAGGUGGGGUCAAAGGUCAUAGGGAAGAAGAUCCUUCAGGUCUGUGAGCCACUGUAAGGACUUUGGCUUCAGCCCCACGGGAGAUAGGAGCCAUGGAGGAUUCUGAGCAGAGGAGCGACAGCACCUGACUUUGGUUCUAACAGGAUCCCUCUGGUUUAAGGGGGCAAGAGUGAAGGCAAGUUUAUCAAUGAGGAGGUGACGGCAACUGUCCCAGUAGGAUGUGAUAAGCCUGGACCAGGGUGAGGCAGUGGAGGUGGAAGACUUGGAAUAAUUCGGGACAAUGGAUGAGCUCCGCGGUGGUCGGGUCGUGAAGGGAAGAGAGCUCCACCAUAGUUUUGGAGCAGCCGGGUGGCUGGGGGAGACCCCAGGUUUGUGGUGGUGUCAGGGAGGUCCCACCCAGAGUAAAAGACAGACGCAUAGCCCCCAGACCCUUGCCUCAAGCACAGAAUCAGCAAUGGGAUCCCAUAGGCAGGUGAUCCCAGAAGCCGUGACCUGCACGGGCUGUCUACCUGGCCAGAGCUCUGCAGAUCCAUGUAGCUGCUAUGGCCUACCCAGCCUCACCCACCCACUGAGCAUCAUUGUCUCUUCUUGGUCCUGCCCCGAGCAGCUCACCCAGCUCCCUCAGUUGGUCCCAAUACUUGACUGGGAUCCCAGGGGAUGGGGGAUAGAAUGAAGUUGUACAUCCAUCCCACCCAUUUGCAUCUCCCAUCAGUCAAACAGGGGCCAGGACGCCUCUUUGCCAGUUCUUCCUCCACACCUCUGUCCACCAUUUCCUUCCACCCUACACCCUGCCCACCUCAUCACCUAGUUCCCACACAUCCCCUUCCGGGAAGCCUUCAGAGAUGGCACCCAGCGUCACCCAUGGGCUCUGCAACCAGGAACUUUACUCUGGUCCCCGCCACCUCACACUUCCUCCACCACAUCCAGUUGUAAGUUUCCAUUUCACAGAUGGAGGAACUGAGGUUCCAAGAGAUAGAGCUGGUUCCCAAGGUCACACACGAGGUCAGUGGCAGUGCCAGGAUUCACCCAAGUCUGUCUGAUUCCAAAGCUCUUAGCAUCCAAGCAUUACACCUGCUGACUCAGGUGGGGUCCCCAGAAGCCAACCUGAGACAAGGCCGUGGGUGCAAGCAGUUUGGGAGAUGAUCCCAGAAACACCAGUAGGGAGUGAGGAAGACAAGGAGAGGGAAAGGACAGUACCAGGUGUGUUAGUGAGCAGGUCACUUCUGCAGGCACCAGGGCUCAGACCCUCUGGAAAACACUGGUAGAAUGUGUAGAACAGCCCUCAGCGUUGUCCCACUUGAGGGGUGAGGACCCACCCUUCACUGGCAAGGGUCAUUCACUCCCGUUCCUUUGCAUGCAAGCCAAGGCAGACAGAUGCAAGAUGGUGGCCCCUCUGUCGUCUCACCAAAGGGCACUGAUCCUGCUACCACGGCUGCAGUCCCAGAGGUGUCUUCCAGUCCUCCUUCUCCCCCACAUUGCCUACCUUCUUACUGCCCCAGGCCUCCCGUCCCUGAAACAUGAGCCUGAGAACGCCAGGGCUAGUACGGAUGGGAACAUCGCGGCUAGGGUGACUGUCCACAUGCCUGGGCUGCCAAAUUCAAAUUCAAAUGCAAAGAGUGGCUGAAUGCACUGCACCCCCCUUUAACCUCCUGACUCCCAGAACAGUGCUCACUCGGGGAUGCAGACAACGCAGCAGGAGGUAGCUGAGCCUUGUGACUCUCUGCAAGUCACUCAGCCUCUUGGAGCCUUCAUUUCCUCAUGUGGAGAAGGGAACCAUAAAAAAAACACCUCAGCCAUCUAAGAUGCAUCAGUUGGUCUCAACCCACCUGGACCAAAGAAUGAAGAACACCAAAGACACAAAGUAAUUAUGAGCCCAAGAGACAGAAAGGGCCACAUAAACCAGAGACUACAUCAGCCUGAGACCAGAAGAGCUAGAUGGUGCCCGGCUACAACCGAUGACUGUCCUGACAGGGAACACAACAGAGAGCCCCUGAGGGAGCAGGAAAGCAGUGGGAUGCAGACCCCAAAUUCUCGUAAAAAGACCAGACUUAAUGGUCUGACUUAGACUAGAAGGACCCCAGUGGUCAUGGCCCCUAGACCUUCUGUUGGCCCAGGACAGGAACCAUUCCUGAAGCCAACUCUUCAGACAAGGAGUGGACUGGGCAAUGGUUUGGAGAGGGAUGCUGGUGAGGAGUGAGCUUCUCGGAUCAGGUGGACGCUUGAGACUAUAUUGGCAUCUCCUCCCUGGAGGGGAGAUGAGAGGGUAAAGGGGGUUAGAAGCUGGCAAAAUGGACACGAAAAGAGAGAGUGGAGGGAGGGAGCGGGCUGUCUCAUUAGGGGGAGAACAAUUGGGAGUAUGUAGCAAGGUGAUUAUAAGUUUUUGUGUGAGAGACUGACUUGAUUUGCAAACUUUCACUUAAAGCACAAUAAAAAUAAAAUAAAAAAAAAACCUCGAAAAGUUUUUUGUGGGCAUUAAAAUAUAAAAAAAAAGGUGACACAAAAUAUACAUGGCUUAGAACAGCACAUAGCACAUAGUACAUACUUGAUAAAUAUCUGUGCUUAAAUGAGAUAGGAAGGUCGUAGCUACUCAAUAAACAUAGCCAGGAAUAUUGUAGUUACUGUUGUUUAGGAGCCCCUCGGUGUCUCCCAAGCCUGGACCUACUCGACAGAGACAAGAUGGUGGCUGAGUGGCCUCCUCAGUUUCCUGGACUCCACAGCUUCUUGCUCAAGGCUGCCUGAAUUUUGGGGAAACAGAGGAGGAGGAGGAAGGGGCGGGGGCCUGGUCAGGCCUGCUAGCGGUAACUGUGGGCAGCCACCCCGCCUGAGGGGCCUCCAUUCGCCCAUCCACCCAUCCGCUGAGGCCGCUGCCCAGUCCACACAGGGGACGCCUCGUCUUGCACAAGACAGGAAGGGGGAGGCUAGGGUUGCGGCGGGUGACUCCAGGACCCCGUGUCCACCCGGCUGCAGACAGGAUGGGCAAGGGAGGCCCAGGCCAGGCUUCCUGUGUACUGAGCACACUGGGCAGAAAGGAGAAGUGGGGUCCAGGCUGAGAGGGAGGCCCAGGCAGCACUUUCCUCUCCCUGGCCCAACUGUUCCGCCUUCCCUCUCUGACUCACGGUCCCUGGGUUCCAAUCCCAACUCUGCCACCUACCAGCUGCUUGACUUUGGACAACAGGUUCUCUGGGCCUUUGUUUCCCGUUGCCGCUGGGGAGCAGAGAAAUCUCCCCUUGAGCCUGCCUGCCCCUCUGUGGGGGCACUGUCAUUAUCAUCUGCAGUUAAGGAAACCAAGGGAAGCCAUUAGGUAUUUUCAAACAGCAUCUACUAUGCUUAAAGAUUUAGGGCACAACAGGCCAGGGCAAGCCUGACAUCCCAGUGGGUUCUGGAGACACAAAGGCCAAUAUAACCCAUACCCUCCGUCCUGGACCCACGGCAGGUAUUAUUAAUCAAUCACGCCCAGAUACUGCCUCAGAACCCUGCUUAACACAGCUCUCCAGCCACUGCCAAUCCGAGCUCCUGAGGCCUGAGGAAGCAAGGACAAUGCGUCUGUCCUCUCCAUUUCAGCGACAGGCUCGAUCAGAGAGAAAACUUGCCCUGAAAAAGGCCACCCUCUGGCAAGCUACCUCCGGGUGCCUCUCUGUAAUCAGGGCCUCCCCAGAAGCCUAUCUGUCCCACCAGCCUGAACCUCUCAGGACCCUUCCCUUGGAGGCAUUUGCCCUGGGGGUUUGCAAACUGGCUCACUGAAAGGCCAGAGGUCUGUGUAGUGGGGGGCUGGAGAAGCAGCAGAGAUGGGGGAAUCACAGACUGAGGAGGGAGCCCUGGCAAAGCCUGGGGUAACCGGAGGCUGGACCUGCCCCCAGAGAGGAGGGGUUCCAGGGUGGAGCACGGCGGGCGGAGGGCAGUGGGGAGGAGGAAAAGCCAGCUCCCUAGGCUGCUGGGGCCCCACCAGCUAUGCCAGGGAAAGUCCAGUGACCCAGAGCCCCAUGGUGGAUUGUGUAAAAGGAAAACCAAAACUGAGUGCAGAGCCCUGGGCCUCCCACCAGCCCUGGUGCAUCUGUCCCUGUAUUCACAACCACCCCCCAAGUCACUGACCUACGCCACCAUCUUCCUUCAGCUGGACACCUGCAGUGGUCUCCAGCCUGCUCCCCAGCCUUCCCCUUCUCCCCUACACACCCUUCUCCACAUGACAAAGGAAAGCUCAGAAACGUAGCCCCGGCCAAGUCACUCCCCUGCUCCAAACCCCAAGACUGCCCAUCACAUUGGGGAGAAAAUCUGGACAUGUGGCCCCAGCCCUGGCCUCCAACCCCUGGAUGUCCGCCCCUGCCCCGUCUCUACCAUUGCCUCUUCUUUCUCCCCAAUCACUCUUGUCUCUGGGAGCACCAGCUUCUACCUAUUCCUUAGGCAGUAACCUCACCCCCACCUCCAGGCCUUUGCCUCUAACGCUCUUCCCCCAUAUUUUCCCUUGGUGGCUCCAUCUCAUCAGUCAGGUCUCAAUUCAAUGCCGCCUCACCCCCGACCCCAGCACCCCUAGCUACUGCAGACUCCUCUCUGCCACCUCCACCUGUCCCUCUGGUUCUUUGUAGCUCUUCUCAGGGUUUGCAAGUAUCUACUUACUUGUGUGCUUGCGUGUCUGUCCCAUCGCCAAAAUGUCAGCUC